UGCUUGAGUAACCAAAAAUAUUAGGAAAGAAAUCGUUAAGGGCGUAUGGCGGAUGCCUAGGCUUUCAGAGGCGACGAAGGACGUGGUAAGCUGCGAAAAGCUACGGGGAUUGGCACACACGAAUAGAUCCGUAGAUAUCCGAAUGGGGCAACCCAAUACAUUGAAGAUGUAUUACUGCGUAAGCAGAGCAAACCCGGAGAACUGAAACAUCUAAGUACCCGGAGGAAAAGAAAUCGAAGAGAUUCCGUAAGUAGUGGC
rnacentral:rRNA from 1 species